GCAGUCUUCAGCUGAGACUAAGUUCCCUGAAAGAGAAGCAAAACGAGGUUACUGAAUUUUAAGAUUCUACAGUAAACGUGUUGGAAGACAGCAAUGGACAAGUUUUUGAUUGCUCUCGGCUGUGCACCAAAAGGUUUCACCACUGUCAAAGGCUAUAACGAGAAAUUAACGGAAGAAGCAAAACUCGGAGACCUGUUCCUGGUGAAAGAAGCUAACAGUAGCGAUGGAUCCAGUCUAGGAUACUACCAGGCUGGCGUUUACUGCAGUGAAGACCGGAUAUCAUUCUCUUUACAUGUAAAUCUCUAAAUAUCCAUUCUUCCCCGAAGGUUCCUUAUACAAACCUGGUCUUCCAGAAGUGGGCAAAUUAGACGUGGAUGUGUUCUGUGGAGACAAGACUUUUGUGGUUCACAGAAAGGACAAAGGAAUUCCUGAAAACUUUACAGACAAGGUUCAAAUAGCCAAGCGGAAAGUACCAGUAUACGAUGCUCUUCAUUACAACUCUAUCCAUUUUGCUCUGGAGCUGCUGGAGGUCGAAUCAGAGACCAUAAAGGAUUUCAUUGACAGAAGUUUGGAAAUAAUUGAAAACUAAUCUACAGAAAUGUUUCUGUAGGUUCUGUAGGUGGACGAUUUUAUUGCAUCUCAUGUAAAAAUUGCAGUAGCAGUUCUACAGAAUUCACGUCUCAAUGAGAGAAAAAGCUCAGCUUUAGUAACUCAUCCUGCUGUUUUAAUAAAAAGAUUUCAAUAAAAAGAGAAUCUCAGCAUCUCCAACUAGAAAUACAAUGUGGAUUCUGUUCAGGUUCAUACAGCA